UGUCUCCCCAGUCCUUGGCGCGCGCCAUUUCUGAGAUCUGACACCAUCGUAGGCGCUUUGGGAGAUAGGAUUCCUCGAUCUCUCGAGUGUUGGAUAGGGGAACGAAAUGGAGAUCGUUGGAUCACGUAGGAAAGCUCUCCACUACGAUGCCGUAUCGACCAUCCCUCUCUACCGCUCCGCUCCAGCGCUCGAAGUCAGACUUGAGGAUUUCGAGCUCUUUGCCAUGGAUCGCCUCCGCGUUCUUAAAGGGAUUUCUGAUGCUUUGUCCCGUGGAAAGAAGCCGGAAGAAAUGCAACAAGUGGAACGCGAUCUAUGGAAAGCAAAUAUGAAGCAUCCGGAGGCAUCUGAGGUUGUCAACAAGGAUAUUAUAUCCCACUUUGUUCUCCGUCUCGCGUAUUGCAGAACGGAGGACUUGAGAAAAUGGUUUCUUUCCAUGGAGACUGCCCUAUUUCGUUACCGUUUUAUGUCUGAAAGCGUUGAAGCUCAGAGAGCACUGAUGGCUGAAUUUGACCUUCCAUACAAAGCAGUUAGCAACGCAGAAUUUGAGAGUACGAAGGACAAAUUGUGGCAAGUUGCACGUUCCGUCGUUCCGCCGUUAUCAACUGCCGAUACGGUAUUCUACAAGGUACCGUUUGAAGAAGUUCCAGAGCUUGUAGCUGGUCGUAGAGUGUUUGUCCAUAAGGGGCAUGCAUACGUUGCCAGGAAUCAGGUGGUUUCCCUUGUUGCCACACAAUUCCGCAGUCAUCUAUCGAAGGCACUCAUUCUCACAAACAGAAAGUGGAUAUCUACCAUCAGAGAACAAGAGAGUGAUCGGUUGGCUCCUAUUGUAGAAGCCCUAUGCACAAGCUACUUGGGUCCUGACUAUUCUGAGCCAAGAGAACUGGGUGAUAUAUCCAUAAAAGAGAUUGACCAAAUAGCUCAGAGUUCAUUUCCUCUAUGCAUGCGCCACCUGUUUGAAAAGCUAAGAGAGGAUCAUCACUUAAAGCAUGGAGGAAGGAUGCAGUUCGGCCUCUUUCUCAAGGGUAUUGGAUUGAAGCUGGAUGAUGCCCUUGCGUUUUGGAAAGCUGAGUUCUCCCAAAAGGUUGGUGCUGAAAGAUUUGACAAAGAAUAUGCAUACAGCAUUCGCCAUAAUUAUGGGAGAGAAGGGAAGAGAACCGAUUAUACUCCUUAUUCUUGUCAAAAGAUCAUCUCUUCAUCUCCCGGUGCAGGAGAUCAUCACGGGUGCCCCUAUCGACAUUUCAGUGAAGAGAAUCUAAGAGCUGCCCUCGGUAAAAUGAGACUAAAUAACAGGGCAGUUGAAGAUGUAAUGGACAAAGUGCGAAGUCGACAUUAUCAGUUGGCAUGCACCUUGACGUUUGAAGCUAUACAUGGCACAUCAUGUGAUGCUGGGAUUAACCAUCCAAAUCAAUACUUCACUGACAGCCAAAAGUACCUGCAAUCAAAGUAAUUCCUUUUGCAGAACCAGUCUACAGUGUAAAGAGAAUUUGUGACCGACAGAGAUGCAGUCCUCUUCAGUUCAGGUAAGCAUCUUGGAGGAUGCAGUCAUUUAUAUGCGCAUGUCCGUAACAAAACUAGUUCUGUUGUAUCGAGUGUUUAUGUAUAUAAUGUAGGUAGGUGUGACUUUCGUGGACAAUUAUACAAUGAGAAUUGAUUAAGAUGCUGCAUGGCAGUAUGGAAUUUUGAUGGGGUUUCUAACAAAUGUUCUUGUACUAAUUUUAAUAUCAAUGGAAUCCUCUUUAUUUGAGAA